GCGACCGUGUUAGGUGGCUGACGACGGAGUCAGAACAGAGAGAUGAAGACAUGAAGAGAAGGCUGACGAAAAGAAGAGGAAGAAGAAAGGAAAGAAGGUUGGUAAAGGUAACAUCCCUGAUCUGAUUCGAACAUCACAAGGUAGCAAAGGAAAAGAAAAGGAGGACAAGUAGUGAUGUGUCUCAAGUCUCAAUGCAAAGUGGUAGGUCGCUUUUGGGAUCUCAGUGGUUUAUGUUGUGCCUAUAAAAGGGGGAACCUCACACCACAAACUUGUUAAGCAUAGCCAAGUAUAGCAAAAACAAACUUCUAUUCUUCUAUUCUUCUUUGUGGAAGCAGAAUCUUGAGAAACAUGGAGGGAAAAAUGAGUUGGACAGUUGCAGAUGCUGUGGACUACAAAGGCUACCCU